rnacentral:rRNA from 1 species
AGACCCGAAACCCGGUGAUCUAGCCAUGGGCAGGUUGAAGGUUGGGUAACACUAACUGGAGGACCGAACCGACUAAUGUUGAAAAAUUAGCGGAUGACCUGUGGCUGGGGGUGAAAGGCCAAUCAAACCGGGAGAUAGCUGGUUCUCCCCGAAAGCUAUUUAGGUAGCGCCUCGUGAAUUCAUCUCCGGGGGUAGAGCACUGUUUCGGCUAGGGGGCCAUCCCGGCUUACCAACCCGAUGCAAACUGCGAAUACCGGAGAAUGUUAUCACGGGAGACACACGGCGGGUGCUAACGUCCGUCGUGAAGAGGGAAACAACCCAGACCGCCAGCUAAGGUCCCAAAGUCAUGGUUAAGUGGGAAACGAUGUGGGAAGGCCCAGACAGCCAGGAUGUUGGCUUAGAAGCAGCCAUCAUUUAAAGAAAGCGUAAUAGCUCACUGGUCGAGUCGGCCUGCGCGGAAGAUGUAACGGGGCUAAACCAUGCACCGAAGCUGCGGCAGCGACACUGUGUGUUGUUGGGUAGGGGAGCGUUCUGUAAGCCGUUGAAGGUGUGUCGUGAGGCAUGCUGGAGGUAUCAGAAGUGCGAAUGCUGACAUAAGUAACGAUAAAGCGGGUGAAAAGCCCGCUCGCCGGAAGACCAAGGGUUCCUGUCCAACGUUAAUCGGGGCAGGGUGAGUCGACCCCUAAGGCGAGGCCGAAAGGCGUAGUCGAUGGGAAACGGGUUAAUAUUCCCGUACUUGGUGUUACUGCGAAGGGGGGACGGAGAAGGCUAUGUUGGCCGGGCGACGGUAGUCCCGGUUUAAGCGUGUAGGUGUGUGUUCCAGGUAAAUCCGGUUCACUUUAACACUGAGGCGUGAUGACGAGGCACCACGGUGCUGAAGCAACAAAUGCCCUGCUUCCAGGAAAAGCCUCUAAGCAUCAGGUAACAUCAAAUCGUACCCCAAACCGACACAGGUGGUCAGGUAGAGAAUACCAAGGCGCUUGAGAGAACUCGGGUGAAGGAACUAGGCAAAAUGGUGCCGUAACUUCGGGAGAAGGCACGCUGACACGUAGGUGAAGUGAUUUACUCAUGGAGCUGAAGUCAGUCGAAGAUACCAGCUGGCUGCAACUGUUUAUUAAAAACACAGCACUGUGCAAACACGAAAGUGGACGUAUACGGUGUGACGCCUGCCCGGUGCCGGAAGGUUAAUUGAUGGGGUCAGCGCAAGCGAAGCUCCUGAUCGAAGCCCCGGUAAACGGCGGCCGUAACUAUAACGGUCCUAAGGUAGCGAAAUUCCUUGUCGGGUAAGUUCCGACCUGCACGAAUGGCGUAAUGAUGGCCAGGCUGUCUCCACCCGAGACUCAGUGAAAUUGAACUCGCUGUGAAGAUGCAGUGUACCCGCGGCAAGACGGAAAGACCCCGUGAACCUUUACUAUAGCUUGACACUGAACAUUGAGCCUUGAUGUGUAGGAUAGGUGGGAGGCUUUGAAGCGUGGACGCCAGUCUGCGUGGAGCCGACCUUGAAAUACCACCCUUUAAUGUUUGAUGUUCUAACGUGGACCCGUAAUCCGGGUUGCGGACAGUGUCUGGUGGGUAGUUUGACUGGGGCGGUCUCCUCCUAAAGAGUAACGGAGGAGCACGAAGGUUGGCUAAUCCUGGUCGGACAUCAGGAGGUUAGUGCAAUGGCAUAAGCCAGCUUGACUGCGAGCGUGACGGCGCGAGCAGGUGCGAAAGCAGGUCAUAGUGAUCCGGUGGUUCUGAAUGGAAGGGCCAUCGCUCAACGGAUAAAAGGUACUCCGGGGAUAACAGGCUGAUACCGCCCAAGAGUUCAUAUCGACGGCGGUGUUUGGCACCUCGAUGUCGGCUCAUCACAUCCUGGGGCUGAAGUAGGUCCCAAGGGUAUGGCUGUUCGCCAUUUAAAGUGGUACGCGAGCUGGGUUUAGAACGUCGUGAGACAGUUCGGUCCCUAUCUGCCGUGGGCGCUGGAAGAUUGAGGGGGGCUGCUCCUAGUACGAGAGGACCGGAGUGGACGCAUCACUGGUGUUCGGGUUGUCAUGCCAAUGGCACUGCCCGGUAGCUAAAUGCGGAAAAGAUAAGUGCUGAAAGCAUCUAAGCACGAAACUUGCCC